rnacentral:lncRNA from 1 species
UUUGCUAUGAAGAAGGGUGACAGCUGGUUUAGCCUCACUCAUGUGAUGACGCUCAAUAAACUCGAGAAUGUCUUUCUUUUGUGAGAGCCUCAAACCAGAACUAUUGGGUCUUAUUUCGAUGCCAAGAAAGUAGCAGAGAUAACCCAAAUCUUUCAUGGAGAAUUCCGUUUGCAUUGAUGAGACUCUGAAUGAGUUCGUUGCUGGACCCAAAUAUGGCUAUGUCGUCGACAUAGAGUAAGAGAACAAGAGUGUGACGUAAAGGAAUUUUUUUUUCUUAUUAAUAGGUAUAGGAUAUCUUUGAGAUUCUGCCUUCGAUGGGGAAAGCCUCUUUUGAUGAGGUUUUCUUGCUUUUUUCUUCAAUGGAGAAAAAGUGAUAAGGUGAGCAACCAAGUUAUAUAAGUCUCUUUUAUUGAAAGCCAGCUACCUCUUUUUGGGAUUGAGUCAAAGUAUAGCACAGAUAACCCAAAUCUUUCAUGGAGAAUUCCGUUUGCAUUGAUGAGACUCUGAAUGAGUUCGUUGCUGGACCCAAAUAUGGCUAUGUCGUCGACAUAGAGUAAGAGAACAAGAGUGUGACGUAAAGGAAUUUUUUUUUCUUAUUAAUAGGUAUAGGAUAUCUUUGAGAAUCUGCCUUCGAUGGGGAAAGCCUCUUUUGAUGAGGUUUUCUUGCUUUUUUCUUCAAUGGAGAAAAAGUGAUAAGGUGAGCAACCAAGUUAUAUAAGUCUCUUUUAUUGAAAGCCAGCUACCUCUUUUUGGGAUUGAGUCAAAGUGGAAGUUGGAGGGGUUUUAGGUUGAGAUAAAGUUCUAGCCCCUACAGUUGGAGUCUUUCUGUCUUUGACUUCUUCCCCUUUAUUUUAGCCUUCGCCUUCACCUCUUAGAAUAGGGAUGUUACCCUGUUAAUAAGGUAAGUCUUUCUUGUUGCAGAAGCAGUUUCGGGGUCAUAUUCAUAUAAUCAGUCUCCCACUAUUGCCCUUCCUGCUAGUGCUAUGCCCCCUUUUUACAGUGUAUUAUUACUUUCUAGGCCCAGUAGAAGGAUAACUAGGGGGUUCCAUAUAGUAGUUAUAGUUGUCCACCUUGUACCAGUGCUCGACCCCCCGAAAAAUUCACUCGACUUUACACAAAAGCAUGUGAUAGGGAAAGCUUGUGUAUUUGAAGGUAGUUCAAUCAAGUUCUUUUGCGCAUAUUACUUAUUUUCCAUACUAUUCUGAAUUAGCAUAUUCCGAAUAGGUUUGUAACCGUCUACUUCAAGUGAAUCAGAGCAGACAUUAAAAGAAAGGGCAAAAGAGGAAGAACAUAGUUUUCGUAUUGAUUUUCUAUACCCUCGUGCUAACAACGUGCUAACGAUUCCUUCAGUUAAGGAUUAUCAGUAGAAAGACUAACUCUACCUUGUAGACCGUGGAUAGUGGAUACUAGUCCUAAGAUGUCUAUCGUGUUGAAGGCGUGGACAUGUUGGAGUAGGGCUUUUCUAGAGGCUAAGGCAGAUAAGAGGGCUUGGAACAGUACUUCCAAUAUAGAGUACUCUUACUUUGUCUAAGAGCAAAUAUGUUCCAUCUAUGGUAAAUUGUCCGGUACAUGUAUAUCUAUUCAUCAAAUAUAUUUUGUUAUGAUGGUGGUGCAACAGUACUUCCAAUAUAGAGUACUCUUACUUUGUCUAAGAGUUAUAAAAGUUAUUAUUAUCAUACCAGUUCUCACGUUGUUAAUAAGUCUCAUAGCAGUCAAAAAAGAGGGCUUAAUAGAUAGAGUGUCUAAGUCUGGAGUAACGGUAAGACCCUCUAGGGCGGCUAUUCUUGCUAUAAGGUUCCAUAGGAAGAUACCAUUGUAUGUUUUCCCAUCCUUGCCCUACUCUAACCUGAUAUCACUUUCUACCAUGGGUAAGUUCGCAUACUCAUAACUUGGUGACAUACUCCUUUCCUUUUGGCAUGUGGGUAAGUCGUAAAUAGCCCUUUAUAAUAUGCUUUCUUUCUCAGGAUCCUCUUUCUGCUAAUGCUACUGGGGAUGCCCUUGGUGGAUUC